GGAGACCUGAAGGCUGCUUCCGCUAACCCAGGCUGGCGCUGCUAACCUCACCCAAGGAGCCCUGCUGUCGGAAAAUUUCCAGAGGCACCAUCCCUGCUAUGAAGAGGGAAUGCCAGUACAACAGCCACAAGGGGUCUUCCUGUGGCCCUCAAACAAAAAAUCACUGCAUUACAUCAGCAGGCCGGACGCGGUGGCUUAUGCCUGUAAUCCCAGCACUGUGGGAGGCCGAGACGGGCGGAUCACGAGAUCAGGAGAUCGAGACCAUCCUGGCUAACACGGUGAAACCCCAUCUCUACUAAAAAUACAAAAAAAUUAGCCGGGCGUGGUGGCGGGCGCCUGUAGUCCCAGCUACUCGGGAGGCUGAGGCAAGAGAAUUGCGUGAACCCAGGAGGCGGAGCUUGCAGUGAACCGAGAUCGCGCCACUGCACUCCAGCCUGGGUGACAGUGCGAGACUCCGUCUCUCUCUCUCUCUCUCUCUCUCUCUCUCUCUCUAUAUAUAUAUAUAUAUAUAUAUUCCAUAGACUGCAUUGGAGAGAAAGGCGCCGGGACAGAAAAGCCUGAGAUAAACCACCUGUCAUUCUUGGAGAAAAGGAUGCUCCGGCCUUCCCGAUUUGGUUGAUGAGAUGAAACAUCAACCCUUACAGAAAGACAUCACCAAUUCCGGAAAGGAUGCUGCGCCAGUCACGUUUCCGCACUUUGUGAGACGUUGAAAUCUCCAGAAGUUGCCCAAGGUUUUCAAGUUGAACACGGGAGAAAUGACUCGAUCUCUGAGGACUGUUUUCCUCAAUAAGGAGUUGCAAUCUUGGCUCCACCACCCUCCCUCCAAAACAUCUCGUGUGUCUGGUAUCUGGUUAUAUUGUGGCCUGACAGAGAAGUUUCUUUCGGGGUCAGUGAAUUUAAAAAAAAAAAAAA
rnacentral:sRNA from 1 species